GGGCCAAACCCUAGCCUCCCUCCUUCGAUCCUUCUCUCCCUACCUGUGAGCCGCCGCCCCUCACCCUUCUCCCCGCCGACCCUCCCACCCUUUCCACAGGCGUCAUCCCUCUCUCUCCAACUCCCCCUCAUGACCCCUCUCAUCGGCUUCAAGCAGCAGGGGCAAUGCAGCGGCGGUGGCAUCCAUGUGUGCUCCCAGAUCCUGGCAGCAUGGGGUUCGGCGCGCAUGAGGCUGUAGCUCCCGACGGCACGUGUAGGCCCUCGCCCCAGCACUAGCUUUGGCCUAAUCUCUCCUCUCCACCAACAACCUCUCAGAUCUCGGCAGAGACGAGAGAGGUAGUGCAGGCAACAGCUCCAGCAAAGUGUGGGGAACCAGCAGCAGCUGCGGCGAGCUCACAGGGGCAGCAACCUGACUCCUGUUGACGAAGAACACACCAAGGAUGAGCACGGGAAGACAAGUACAAAGACCAGGAAUCUGGAGCAACGGAUUUUUGAAGGAGUGCCACUAUACAGCAAAAUGAAAUCAAGCUUAUGCACUGGCUGUCUAGAAAUGCUAUUGUGUAAUAGAUGUAAAGGUUGACAAUGACCUGUUUUUGUGUUUCCUUAGGUUUUAUGAUGAUCAGAACAUGUUAUGUUAAUGUACUGCAAAUUGAGUUAAUCAAAUGAUUGGGCUUUAUGUGAUUUUCAUUAUAUAA